CUAUCAUCCCCGUCCUCAGGUGCCCAAUGCGAUGACGCAACGGGAGAAUCGGGAAGGCGGUGCAACUCCGCCGCGUGCCCAACGCUGUAAGGACGAUGCCGCGCACAAAUGCCACUGGCUGCCCUGGUGCAGUGUUUCACGCUAUCUGACACAUAAAAAGGCUUCUUUUCGGCCCUGGCUGCGUUGCAAAUCCUCGCGAUAACGCCUGGUAUCGCUGUGGUUUGCGCCUUGCCAGACCCGAAAAUCCAUCCUUUUUUCUUCGUGUCAUCCAGCGUAAAACACUGCACUGGCCGGGAAGGUGUGUGAAGGCAGACGACUCCAAGCCAGAAGACCGGCCUGAGCCAUUUUUGGCGC
rnacentral:ncRNA from 1 species